rnacentral:rRNA from 1 species
AGUGAACGCUGGCGGUAGGCCUAACACAUGCAAGUCGAACGGCAGCACAGUAAGAGCUUGCUCUUACGGGUGGCGAGUGGCGGACGGGUGAGGAAUACAUCGGAAUCUACUUUUUCGUGGGGGAUAACGUAGGGAAACUUACGCUAAUACCGCAUACGACCUACGGGUGAAAGCAGGGGAUCUUCGGACCUUGCGCGAAUGAAUGAGCCGAUGUCGGAUUAGCUAGUUGGCGGGGUAAAGGCCCACCAAGGCGACGAUCCGUAGCUGGUCUGAGAGGAUGAUCAGCCAGACUGGAACUGAGACACGGUCCAGACUCCUACGGGAGGCAGCAGUGGGGAAUAUUGGACAAUGGGCGCAAGCCUGAUCCAGCCAUACCGCGUGGGUGAAGAAGGCCUUCGGGUUGUAAAGCCCUUUUGUUGGGAAAGAAAAGCAGCAGGUUAAUACCCCGCUGUUCUGACGGUACCCAAAGAAUAAGCACCGGCUAACUUCGUG